rnacentral:rRNA from 1 species
GAUGAACGCUGGCGGCGUGCCUAAUUCAUGCAAGUCGAGCGAACGGACGAGAAGCUUGCUUCUCUGAUGUUAGCGGCGGACGGGUGAGUAACACGUGGAUAACCUACCUAUAAGACUGGGAUAACUUCGGGAAACCGGAGCUAAUACCGGAUAAUAUUUUGAACCGCAUGGUUCAAAAGUGAAAGACGGUCUUGCUGUCACUUAUAGAUGGAUCCGCGCUGCAUUAGCUAGUUGGUAAGGUAACGGCUUACCAAGGCAACGAUGCAUAGCCGACCUGAGAGGGUGAUCGGCCACACUGGAACUGAGACACGGUCCAGACUCCUACGGGAGGCAGCAGUAGGGAAUCUUCCGCAAUGGGCGAAAGCCUGACGGAGCAACGCCGCGUGAGUGAUGAAGGUCUUCGGAUCGUAAAACUCUGUUAUUAGGGAAGAACAUAUGUGUAAGUAACUGUGCACAUCUUGACGGUACCUAAUCAGAAAGCCACGGCUAACUACGUG